UACGGGGGGAGCAAGCGUUGUUCGGAUUUACUGGGCGUAAAGGGCGCGUAGGCGGCCACCGCAAGUCGACUGUGAAAUCUCCGGGCUUAACCCGGAAAGGUCAGCCGAUACUGCGGGGCUAGAGUGCAGAAGGGGCAACCGGAAUUCUCGGUGUAGCGGUGAAAUGCGUAGAUAUCGAGAGGAACACCUGCGGUGAAGGCGGGUUGCUGGGCCGACACUGACGCUGAUGUGCGAAAGCUAGGGGAGCGAACGGG
rnacentral:rRNA from 1 species